GGGCGCUUAGCUCAGUUGGUAGAGCGUCUGCCUUACAAGCAGAAUGUCGGCGGUUCGAUGCCGUCAGCGCCCACCA
rnacentral:tRNA from 1 species